rnacentral:lncRNA from 1 species
UUUUUUUUUUUUUUGAUGAAGUAACAACUUGUAUUUCCAUUUCCAAAAAAAUCAAACCUGCCACAACAUGUUACAGGUUCCUAAUUACAAAAGCAAAAGAGUAUACAUGAAGAUCUUCAACCCUAUAGUUAAAAUUACAAAGAGCCUAAGACGUUCAUAACUAAUUCUAGAUCUUCCAUGUACUCCUGUUUACACCAAAAAUGAAACAACACCAAGCAGUUCAUCUUCAACUUCUGGAUAGUGUUGCUCUUGUUCUGGAAACAUCUACGGUUUCUUUCUUGCCACACCGACCACCGUAAACAAGCUAUCUUUAUCUCCAGAGAUGUUGGCAUAACUACUCCAUAUCUUCAGGGUCUGUGCUACUCCAGUUUAGUCCCUUCAUAUUGAUGAAAAGAUCCCACAAAAGAUUGGUAAUCCCACAAUGAAGAAACAGGUGAGUAACGGUCUCAGCCUCUUCCCCACAUAGGAAACAUCUGGGACUCAAAUGGAAACCCCUCUUCAUGAGGUUUUCCUGAGUCAAAACAGUCACCUCAUACUAUAGCCUAUUUUAAAUUUAAUAGGCUUCGGAAUCUAUUUUAGUCUAUAUUACACUCUCAAAACGCUUUUCACUAGCUAAAAAAUUCUGAAGGACAAGAAAAAUGGAAGUGUCUUGACUCGACCUUGGUCCUUUAAUGUAGAACGGAAGGUCAACCAAAAUCCAAUUUACUUCUUUUCUCCAAAGCUACCAAUACAAACUCGGGAGUGUGAAUCAAAUUAGUGACCACGAAGGGAAAUCUUUAAAGGGCCAUGUGGGAUUCAUUCUCCAAAAUGCACAUCUCAAAUACCUUGGACCUGAUCUUCUUCAUCAUCAUGGUUUGCCUCAGCAUAUUCCUCAAGUGAUGAUGCUGUACACGGUUCACCAACCUUCACGUCAUUUUGAGUUGGGUUUUUUCUGAACUAUGAGACUUCCCUUUGUUCAUCUGUUGCAUACACAUUAGAUGCACUCUUGGAAUCUCAGAAACAUCAUGAAAGCAACAUAAUCAGACAACAGACACCAAUGUGCUGAAACUCUGGUAAAAACAAGAUACUUUUAUACUGCUUGGCACAGUAGAAACAACAGAGGAUAAAAGGAGAAAUGAAAGUGUGUUCACAAGUUACAACCUGGUAAUAUGUUGCCGUGUUGGCUUUAUACUAUCAAAUGAUACUAUUAGAUUGUAAAUAAUAAUUAGAAUGUGAGAGAAGUAAAUCAACUGUCACCCCUUCCAUCCAUACCAACCAAUCGCUACAUUUAGAUAUUCAUUUUUCAAAAUCCAUUUCAUGACUCAUCGAAACAUACUCUUUAAUGGGUAUUAUGCAAUUACAAGUAGCCGGCAGGAAAUGUUCUGCACAGUGGCUACUGAUCUCUGGCAUAUGUUUUUUUCAACUAUUGGUAUCUAUGUCAGUGCAUCAAGGAAGCACUUGAAAGUUGGCACUUUUGGAAAGUCAACAGGGCCAUCAAGAGUAUCUGGAAAAUGAUCCCAGCUACCUUAUUCUCGUGUGUUUUGACAGAGAGGAAUCUUAGAUGUUUUGAUGGCAUUUCAACUCCUAUACAUAAAUGCUGAAUUGAUGCCAAGUUUUUUUCUUUAUUUGGAGAAUGGUAACAUGAAUUGAUGCCAAGAACACAACAUCUUACUUCGUCCAAAAGCAUUUUGUUCAGCUUGAAAAAAAUCAAUUUCAAGCACAACUAUUUCUCCAUAUGUGCACAUAAACAGGCAAUCCAACACCUGUCACCCAGAGAAAAAAAAUGUGCUUAUGCGUACAGACUACAAAUAUAAUAACCCUCUUCCAACUAUUUUUCAAUCCAGUUCAGGAGAAACAAAUAGAAGAGAAUUGGGUAGAUCCAAAAGGGGUAAGAAUGAAAAUGACCAUUAACUGUCAUCUAAUUAUUUGUUUUUGCAGCAAGGUGAUGUACCAAUUUACAUGUUAAAGUUGAUUUUCAUCUGACGUGAAAAUGAUCUGUAGCAAUCAAUACUAUUCACCUAAUGUCGCCAAUGUCACAACAGAAGAGGCAGGCAGUAAGUGGUCUGCCAGUUACCCAAGACAAAGGCUGAAAGAUUGGCAAUUGUGCAAAUGAUGAUGCAUAGAUCUAACCGGUGUUAUUUCCUCCUAGAGACAAGCCAAUCUAGUCAAGGUGAAAUCCAAGGGAGGGACAAUACUAUAAGACAGGCAAUGUAAGAAAGAGGAGUAAGAGAGCCCACAAGGCUUAAUGAAGUGUGGAGGGUGCGGAAAACAGUUCUCGUUUACAAUCCAAGAGAUAAGAUUAAAUAACUAGGAGAAAAAAUGAUGGGGAAAAAAAGAGAGUGAGAGAACAUGUUGUAAAAGGGCUUACUUUCUCCCAAAUGUGAGAGACUAGCAUACACGGUAAUAUAUUCAUGACAUGAAUCAUGAAGAUUUGAAGUAUAGCGAAGGAAAAGGACCAAUCUGGCACUACUAAAUGAUAUGGCUUGAUUACUAAUGACUAAUUGUUGAUAAGACAGGUAUCUACCAUAAAACAUUCAUCAUAAAGUUAAUUCAGCGUAAAUUUCUCUUAAAGCACGUAGAAAUGACCACCUAUCCCGUUCUCGAGCAUUCUUGAUAGCCUGUAACCAAUAACAGAACAUUAGAUUCAUAGGAUGACAAAUGACCUGUUGAUCAUAUAGAUGUAGAAAAGCCUAAGGAUUAGGCUAUGGAAACAAACCUCCUUAAGAGACUUUUUCUCAGCCUCUUCUUCUGAAAUAUCUCCACGAGAAACCAAUAAUAAGCAUAUGAGAUGUCUUCCGAAAACAAUAUCAUGUUAAAAGUGCAGAAUAGAGAUUCAACAAAUUGAGAAGGGCAGGGGAAAAAAGGAGGAAUCUUGAAACCUUCCAACCACUUGAUCAACACGACAUGAACACUUUGCACAUACUUUAUGCUCCUUUGCACAGCCUGUGAUUUUUCAAAUAAACGCAAAAAAUAUCAAACACAAACACUUGACAGAUUUCAUUAUGCUGUAACAACAACAACAACAACUACGGCUUAGUCCCAAAUAAGUUGGUGUCGGCUAUAUGAACCCUCAUUUCAUCAUUUAAGCUCAUAUCAUAUCAUUUCAUUAUGCUGUAACAAAUACACAUAAAAAAAACAAAAAACAAAUGUAAAUAGAAAUCAAAACUAACCAGUGCAGAGAUUGUGGUAAGCUUGAUGCACGUUUCUUUUUGAACACUUUUGACUAUCAGAUCAAGAAAAAAAAAUACAUGAACUUUUGUAAUUUUUAGUGCAGUGUUUUAAGUGAUAUAAAAUCUUACUAGGUACAUUUCGCAGAUUAGGUUCCCAACUGCAACUAAUAACAGAAAGGGAGCGCGAUACAGGACACUAGGUGGGGUUUAAAUGUGCCAAUUUGAAGUUCCAUGCUAUAGAAUUUCAAUUAUAAGCAAGUAUCAUGUGACUGUUGUUUGUUUGAUCAAGUGGAUUGAUAGGGGGAGCUUCAGCCGCACCUGCAAGAAUAAGUUGCAAUCAUGGGAAUGGGAAUAUAACUUGGUGUCAUAGAAGUCGUGACUCUGCUGUUCGAAUUCUCCUCCUAUCCCUAGUUGCCAUUUUCUCCCCAUACCUUGCAAAUAUAUCAGCUAAAUCAAAUUGCCCAACUUCUCUAAGUUUUUUGCUCAUCACCUCAAACAUAACCACCCCUUCCUCAUUGGAAUAAUAAUGCAAAAACUUGUUAUAAUCAAACCUAGGCACCUCAACUUUUCUGUACAUUAAUCUCUCUGCAUAUUUGUUCGCCUCCAACGUCUUCCCCGCCUUAACCAAACCUCCUACAAAGAUAGUGUCGAAAUUCACAAGAGGAUCUAAUCCUUUCCUCCCUCUCUUCCCUAAAUGCCCUUGCAACAACAUAACAUACGUAUGCAUUAUCGGCUCGCACCCCCUUUUAAUCAUCUCCCUAAAUACUUCAGUUGCUUCUCUUGCCCGUUUCAACUUCAACAGCCCUUUGAUCAUCCCAUGAUAAACACUCGUAUCAGGCUUCUCUAUUCGUUCUACAACCCUAUACGCCUCCAUAACCCUUCCUCUACUGAUAAGCCCAAAAGUUAUCGAUGCUAACGUAUGAUUGUCCGCCUUAAUCCCUCUCUUUUGCAUUUCUUCAAACACUAGGUAACUCUCUCCAAGCUUGCCUUUCUUGCACAACCAAUUGAUCACCAACCGAUAAGUUGAGACCCCUAAUUCACUCAUCCUAUUCACUCUAACCGAUUGGAAAACCUUCAAUGCUUCAACAUACUUAUUAUUCUUGAAAAGGGUCUCCAUCAUAGCCUCAACAGAUGCAAUAUCAGGUUCAAAACCUUCAUCCACCAUCAAAUUCCAAAUCUUGGAUGCUUCAAUUACAUCACCAACAUCACAAAAACCAUAUAUCAACCACCUAUAAGUAACCCCAUUUGGCUUUAUCCAAUCUUUCAACUUCAAUACAACAUGCUCAGCCUCCUCAACAAGCUUAGAUCUACAAAGGGACUCAACAACCUUAUUCAACACAUCCACACUAUACCCAUAUCCAAACCCAUUCAUCACAUGAAAGACUCCAACACAUUUCUUCAACUCCCUAACGGAAGCCAGAGUUUUCACUCCAACUACAUAAGUUUUAGGCGUUACCAAUUUACACCGUCCAAUUUCUUGAAACACUUCCCAGAAAAGCUCAAUGUUUCUUGAUUUUCCAAUUACAUCUAUCAGUUUAUGGAAGGUAAUGGGCGUGUGAUUGAAAUGAGGUUGGGUCUUGGUAAACUCAUAGAAUUUGUAAACGGGUCUCCAAGAAUAUUGGAACUUAUUGCAAACUUGAAGGAAAAAUUCAUGGGUAAGGUCAAAGGUUGUUUUACAGAGGUUGUUGUGGAUUUUCUGGUCGGAUGAGUACUGCUGUUGGUAAAGAAUCGUACAAACUCUUAGGAGAUGGGUUUCAUUCACUGGUUUAGUAAAAUUUGGAGAAUCGAGUUGAGGGUAAGCAAAUUGGAUUGUGUUGGUGGUUGGUGAUGCAGCAAGGAGGAUGAUGGGUGAGGUAUGGAGAUGACGAUGGGGUGAUACAAGGAAUGUGAAGGGUCUGAAAAUUGUAGGUUUUAACAUUUGUAUCAGAAAAUUUGCGUCGUUAGGAAUUCUAUUUCUUCUCUUGAAGGAGAACUAAGAAAGGAGAAAGACGAGACAUGAGAGAGUGCUAACAAGAAUUUUCACUGUAUUCACAUUCAAUUACAAUUAAAUAAUUUGAUGGACAUCCAGUCUAAGAAAUAAGAAAAGCCUUGCUUAAACAACUGCUUUAGUUAUUUCAACUACUCUACAAAGCUGUUGAGGUGAAAAUGUUUAAAAAACAAUUGAAUUCUUUUUUAUCCUUUUAUCUAAUUUUUAAAAUUUAAAGGACCUCAUUUAAUUGAAAAACUUAUUUGUUCCUUUUAAUUCAAGGUCUCGUUUAUCACAUUGUCUUUUAUUAAAAAAUAUAUUAUUUUAUAUUUAAUUAGGUGAGAUCAAUAAAAAUAAAAAUGAAAUUGUGUCUUUAAAUAAAUAAGAAAAGCUAGAUAUUUUUUUUGGUGGCAAAUAAAAAAAAACGACACAUAAAAUGAAACUAAGGGAAUACUAUUAAUUUGCAUUUGUGCUAGGAUCCUAAUAAUGUUAUUAUUUAUAAAAUGAAGACUUAAUUCUUGUUAGUAUGAUGUUACUCAUUCGCUUAUAACAUAUUACUACAUUGAAUGUUGUUCUAAAAACUUUAUUUAAUAAUAUAUGAAUAUUCAAGUUGUUGAAUUUAAACUUCUAAAAUAUUUUUAGUAAAAAAUAGAUAAUUUUUAUAUUUUUUUUUACAAUUACCUUAUUACUAUUAUAAUUAAUUUUGUAUCUUUUUUCUUAUAAUUUUUAAUAUUGUUUAAAAUAAAAUAAUACCAGAAAUUCACUAUUAAAAAAUUUUCAACCUCAACAUUUUAGAGACUAAAGCCGAAAUUUUACUAGCUUUGCCUUGAAUGGAAGUGUCUUUUUAACCCCCCACCCCCACCCCACUAGCAUAGUAACACGAGGGACUUGUUAACAGAAUAACCCCUAAAUAGUGCAAAACUUUCACAAGAAUCUACCCUGGUACGAAUAAAGUUAUGAAAAGAGUUGAUUACUGAUGCAGAUUUACAGCUUCCGGGUGACCUCUCAUUUAAGUGGCUAAAGUUAAAAAAGAGGACAAGUCGGUGCAUUAAAGUUUUUGUUAUGUUGGAAUCCAGGGAAGGGCAAAACCAAAUUUAUUAUAAGUAACCUUACCUCGCAUUUUGUAAGAGAUUGUUUUCACGGCUUAAACUCAUGACCUCCUAAUCACAUGAGAGCAACCUUAAGCCCCCUUUAUUUAGGGGUCUAAAGUUGCUUCUAAGAAAACUGCCCCUUCCCUGUGUUAGCCAUUUACUAGUUUUGUAUACCAGCUGAUAUACAUUUAGCUUAAUGAAUCAUAUGCGUUUUAUGAAUCUCCUAAAAAAUUGAACAAUUUCUUUUAUUUCAAUCGAGAAUCUAAUAAAGACAUUAUUGUAAAUAUUGAUUGAAUAGGUACAAAUAAGUACAUUACAACCACACAAUUGCGAACACUCAACCUAAGCCUUAAUGUAAAUUCACAGGCCGUCGAGUCCAAAAAACCUAAGACCAAAUACGACGAGUAUAUUGACCAACAAAACACCAAUGUUCUUACAUCACAAUAUCAUGAAGCAAGCUGUCUUGCAUUUUCAGAUAAAAUUUCUACAAGACUACCCUGACAUGGAAGUUAACUGAACGCCAAAGGAUCUCCAUUGCAAAACUUAUGACUACUCACCUCAUACUAUAGCCUAUUUUACAUUUAAAUAGGCUUAAGAAUCUAUUUUAGUCUAUAUUACACUCUCAAAACUCUUCAGUAGCUAAAAAAUUCUGAAAGCCAAGAAGAAUGGAAGUGUAUUGAUCUCAACCUUGGUCCUUUAAUGUAGACGAAAUCCAAAUUUACUUAUUUUCUCAAAGCAGCCAAUACAAACUUGGGAGUGUGAAUCAAAUUAGUGACCAUGAAGAGAAAUCGUUUAAGGGCCAUAUGGGAUUCAUUCUCGAAAAUGCACAUCUCAAAUAACUUGGACCUGAUUGUCUUCAUCAUCAUGGUUUACCUCAGCAUAUUCCUCAAGUGAUGAUGCUGUAAACAGUUCACCAACCUUCACGUCAUUUUGAGUUAGGUUUUUCUCUGAACUCUGAGACUUCCCUUUGUUCAUCUGUUGCAUACACAUUGACGCGCGCUUAGAAUCUCAGAAACAUCAUGAAAGCAACAUAAUCAGACAACAGACACCAAUGUGCUGAUACUCCGGUAAAAACAAGAUACUUUUAUACUGCUUGGCACAGUAGAAAUGACAGAGGAUAAAAGGAGAAAUGAAGGAGGUGUUUACAAGUUACAGUCUGGUAAUAUGUAAAUAAAAUGGGAAGUUUUCUAAAAAGGAGACUGUCCUGUUGGCUUAUACUAUCAAAUGAUAUGAUUAGAUUGUAAAUAAAUAUUAGAAUGUGAGAGAAGUAAAUCAACUGUCACCCGUCCCAUUCGUACCAACCAAUCGCUACAUAUAGAUAUUCAUUUCUCAAAAUGCAUUUCAUGAAUCAUUGAAACAUACUCUUUAAUGGGUAUUAUGCAAUUAAAAGUAGCCAUCAGGAAACGUUCUGCACAGAGACUGCUGAUCUCUGGCAUAUGUUUUUUUCAAUGAUUGGUAUCAUUUGGACACUACCUCAGUGUAUCAAGAAGCACUUGAAAGUUGGCACUUUUGGAAAGUCAACAGGGCCAUCAAGAGUAUCUAGAAAAUGAUCCAAGCUACUUUCUUCUCGUGUGUCUUGACAGAGAGGAAACUUGGAUGUUUUGAUGGCAUUUCUACUCCUAUAUAUAUAUGCUGAAUUGAUGCCGAGAUUUUUUUUUCUUUUGAGAAUGGUAAUAUGAAUUGAUACCAAGAACGCAACAUCUUACUUCAUCAAAAUACAUUUUGUUCAGCUUUAAAAAAAAUCAAUUUCAAGCACAACUAUUACUCCAUAUGUGCAAAUAAGCAGGCAAUCCAACACCCAUCACACAGAGAAAAAAAAUGUGCUUAUGCGAACAGACUACAAAUAUACUAACCCUCUUCCAACUAUUUUUCAAUCCAGUUCAGGAGAAACAAAUAGAAGAGAAAUGGGUAGAACCAAAAGGGUUAAGAAGGAAAAUGACCAUUAACUGUCAUCUAAUUAUUUGUUUUUGCAACAAGGUGACGUACAAUUUACAUGUUAAAGUUGAUAUUUUUCAAUCCAGUUCAGGAGAAACAAAUAGAAGAGAAAUGGGUAGAUCCAAAAGGGUUAAGAAUGAAAAUGACCAUUAACUGUCAUUUAGUUAUUUGUUUUUGCAACAAGGUGACGUACAAUUUACAUGUUAAAGUUGAUUUUCAUCUGACGUGAAAAUGACCUGUAGCAAUCAAUACUAAUGGCCUAAUUGUCGCCAAUGUCACACCAGAAAGAGGCAGACAAUAAGUGGUCUGCCAGUUACCCACGACAAAGGCUGAAAGAUUGGCAAUUGUGCUAAUGAUGAUGCAUAGAUCUAACCAGUGUUAUUUCCUCCUAGAGACAAGCCAAUCUAGUCAAGGUGAAAUCCAACGGAGGGACAAUACUAUAAGACAGGCAAUGUAAGAAAGAGGAGUAAGAGCGCCACAAGGCUUAAUGUAGUGUGGAGGGUAGGGAAAACAGUUCUCGUUUAGACUCCAAGAGAUAAGAUCAAUAACUAGGAGAAAAUAUGAUGGGGAAUAAAGAGGGUGAGAGAACAUGUUGUGAAAGGGCUUACUAUCUCCCAAAUGUAAGAGACUAGCGUACACGGUAUGACGGUAAUAUAUUCACGACAUGAAUCGUGAAGAUUUGAAAUAUAGCAAAGGAAAAUGGCCAUUCUGGUGCUGCUAAAUGAUAUGGCUUGAUUACUAAUGACUAAUUACUGAUUAAGACAGGUAUCUCCCAUAAAUCAUAAAGUUAAUUCAUCAUAAAUUUCUCUUACAGCACGUAGAAGUGACCGCCUAUCCCGUUCUCGAGCAUUCUUGAUAGCCUGUAACCAACAACAGAACAUUAGAUUCAUAGGAUGACAAAUGACCUGUUGAUCAUAUACAUGAUAGAAAAGCCCAAGGAUAAGGCUACGAAAACAAACCUCCUCAAGAGCCUUUUUCUCAGCCUCUACUUCUGAAAUAUCUCUACGCGAAACCAAUAAUAAGCAUAUAAGAUGUCUUCCGCAAACAAUAUCGUCAUGUUAAAAAUGCAAAAUAGAGAUUCAACAAAUUGAGAAGGGCAGGGAAAAAAAGGAGGAAUCUUUAAACCUUCCAACCACUUGAUCAACACGACAUGAACACUUUGCACAUACUUUAUGCUCCUUUGCACAGCCUGCGAUUUUUCAAAUAAACGCAAAAAACAUCAAACACUUGACAGAUUUCAUUAUGCUGUAACAACAACAACAACUACGGCUUAGUCCCAAAUAAGUUGGUGUCGGCUAAAUGAACCCUCAUUUCGUCAUUUAAGCUCAAAUCAUACCAUUUCAUUAAGCUGUAACAAAUACACAUAAAAUAAAACAAAACAACUGUAAAUAGAAAUUAAAACUAACCGGUGCAGAGAUUGUGGUAAGCUUGACGCACGUUUCUUUUCGAACACUUCUGACUAUCAGAAUUAAGAAAAAAAAAAAAUACAUGAACGUAAGUCAGUGGCUGCUAAAUACUAUGGUUUACUAAGUUCAAUGAACAUAGUACUAUAACUACGUCCUACUCCCUCUGUUCAUUCUUACCUGUCCGUGUUUGACUUGGCUCACUUCUUAAGAAACAAUAUAUACGCGUAUAAUUUUACAAAUUAUCUCUUGAUUUUCCACACUGGAAACUAAGUAUUUAUAGUAUACUGGACAAAUUUUAAGCAGCUAUACAAAUGUGUUUUGCUUACCUAAUAAUACAUUUUUAUUUUCAACAAUACCAAUUCUAACCAAAAAAUUGAUUGAUUAUAUAUUUUGUAGGCGAAGUAGAAGCGUACCACUUAGCAGGUUCAGUUAAUGGUUUGUAUUUGCCAUAUUUACGCUUCCAAUCAAUUUGAUCUUUACAACGAGGACAUACUCCUGUUAUUUCUGAUAGAGGCCUAAAUUUUCCACCAACUUCCUGCAAACAAAAUCAUCAUCAUCUGAUCAAUUAAUUGAUUUAUAACACGAAUUUUUUCAAUUGAUACACUGGGUUUUUCCGUCGUUGUUGUUGUUAUAGAGUGAAAAGCGAGGGCAGUGAUUACCGUUUCAUUGAUUUUGAUACCGGCGUUAGGUUUCCAGGCCACUUUGUUUUGGUGCUUCGGCGGCCCUUUCCUUACCCCGCUCAUCUUUUUCUCUCUUCAAUCUUUUUUUGAUGGAACCAAUACAAAAGGAACUACUGAGACUGGACACACUGGAAUCGAAUCUGUUGGGCUAACAAGCAAUACCACCCCUUGUUUAUUGGUUUGGGCUAUGGAUUUUUGCGUAUCAAAAGAAGGCCCAAUAUUCAUGCACUUGGGUCCAUACAGCAAAAACACAACUUUCUUGUAUCUAUAAUUACAACUCUCGAAUUUGGGAUUCUUCGGAACUCGGACGUCCCAUUAUGUACCCUCGUAGCAGUAGUGUAAUUUAAUUUGUUAUCGUAAAUUAUUUACUAUAUUUUUUAGGUGAUCACGUUUGUUUCAAAUUAUACACUUUUAUUGGUGCACAAUAUAACUUAAUUAUUUUUGUCAUGGACCUUGGUGUGACAAAGAGCAGGGAUACCCUCUCUUUAGGCACGCGAGACUGAAGAUUUUUUUUUUUUUUUUAAAAGUCAGCUUUUAGGUGGGGUAUUUUUCAACACUUAAUCCUCAGAUAGUUAUAUAAAAUAAUUUAUUUGUUACAAUUAUGUACUACUAAUUCCCUUCUUUCUUCAUCUUAUAAUAUAAUGCAUAUCUAACCUAAUUUUGCGUUUUUGAUUAAUUUUUUUAAAGAUAUAAUGAUUUCUUUUUAUCCAAAUGUGUAUUUAAUCUGUUUAGGCCUAAUUUGUAAAGAACGUAGUGUUGAACUCCACCAUUUUAGCUAAUAUAAAAGAAGUUUUAACUAGAAGAGCCGAGUACCAAUUAUGUAAUUCUUUUAUUUUAAAAAAAUCUCUUUAUUUCAACGGAAUAUUUUUGUUGUCCGGUCAAAUCAGUAAAAGAAAAAAAUUGGUUGGAGCUCCAUUGUUUUUUUGCAAAACAAAAAAGGUAUAGCCAAAAUAAUUGAAUAGCAAUUGUGUAAUGUUUUAUGUCUUAUUUAGAUGCAAAGUCUAUUUAUUUUAACAAUGUACGUAUUUUUUUUCUAUCUUCUGGGGCAAAUCUUUUGAAAUAUAAUGACUAUUUGUUUCAAUUGUUAUUCUUUUUCAAGUCAAAUUUAUAAAAUUUAAAAGUUAUAGAUGGAACUUCAUUAUAUCUUGUCAAAUAACAAAAAAAGUUUAGCCUUAACAAUGGAAUUCUAAAUGUUUUUAUGAAUAACAAUUUCAUCAAUUUCUUAUAAAAAAUGUCUGUCAUUACAGCCAGUCAUGAUAAACCAUUACUUUCUGAGUUGGACCGCGUUGUGAUCGCCUAAAUCUAAAAAAACCUCAUACAUGUAACUUCAUUGUGUCGAUCAUAACAAUUUUAUCGACCUAAUGAAUUCACGAUCUCAGAGAAAAUAGUGAUGUUUAUAUUUUGUCACACUGGUCGAUAUGGAUAUGUCAUUGCUUGUCCAACUCAUUUUGAACUUCACUUGAACCUGAAAAAAACUCAUCUUCAUUGGUCGAUUUAUUCAUGAUCAAGGGCAAAGACGGGCUAGACGGGUAAAUGCACUCUUCCACUUCAUGACUUGUAUUAUCUACACCCUCUUGAAGUUGUAAUGCAAAUUCUAGAGUCCUUACAACAUCACCCAUCGAUGGCCUUUGGACUCCUUGAUCCCUCAAGCAACGAUAUGCCAAUUCUGUAAACUUGCUAAAACAUUCGGAGGCAAUUUGUCCUUCCAAAUUAGGAUCAACGAUUAGUUUAAGAUUCCUCUUUUUAUAGCACCUACAAGCCCACUCUGCCAAAUUCACUUGCCCUUUUGGCAAGUUAGGAAUUAUUGCAGGUCUAGCACACAAUACUUCAAACAGCACCACACCAAAAGAAUAAACAUCUGAUUUUUCUGUCAAUUGUUGUCGCUUGUAGUAUUCAGGGUCGACGUACCCAAAACUUCCUUUCACUGCAGUGCUAACAUGGGUGACGUCUGUCCCGCUAAGUGAACCUACUUUGGAUAACCCAAAAUCUGACACCUUGGCGACCCAUUGAUCGUCUAAUAGGAUGUUAGUUGACUUGACAUCUCGGUGGAUGAUCAUGUGCUUGGUACCUAUAGUAGUAAAAUCAGCUGAUUUUUAAAGUAAUUCACUCAAGUUUAAAUGGAUUGGAAUUCAACUUGCUUGUUGGCUUGACACUACUGAAUUACACCUGACAUGAUAUCUCAAGGUAUUGGUUCAAAAUAUGUCAAAUAGUAUAACACAACCAGUCAAAAUGCAACUCGAACAAACGUCAAAAAAUCGAGUAGGUUAGAUCAUGACCGAUUUAUUAAUUUACAGAUUACUUACCUGAAUGGAGGUAAUACAAUCCUUUAGCUGCACCAAUGCAUAUGUAAAGGCGUUCCUUCCAUGGAAGAGGAGCAUUAUCCGUAUUGUACAAGUGAUCACGGAGGGUGCCAUUAGCCAUAUAAUCAUAAACCAAGAUCAUCUCAUUGUUAUCAUCACAAUAACCAAUUAAGGACACCAGAUGCCGAUGCCUUAGCUUUGAUGAUAACAUCUCAAUCUCUGUUUGGAACUCGCGAACCCCUUGGCUUGACGAAGGAUUCAAUCUCUUGACUGCAACUAUGGUUGCGCCGUUGUCUAUGUACCCUUUGUACACAUUACCGAAACCUCCAUGUCCAAUCACAAAUUUUUCAUCAAAAUUUUCUGUUGCUAUUUGUAUCUCCUCCAGUAAGAAGUGUCUGCAUAGAUCGGAUGGUAGUGAUGAUGAGCCUGACUUUUUCGUGGUGGACUCUGAUGACUUGGGAGCAUUUGUAACAGAACCUUUUCCCCCAUUUCGUCUCCGGAAAAUUAAGAAACCCAGAAUUGAGAAAACAGCAAUUGCGCUAGUCACACCUGAAAUGAUAGCAACAAUGAUAUGUGAUGACAUUUUAUUAUUGUUGUUCGGUGACUUGAUUGGACCUUCUAAGCGUAAUUCAGGAUAUGGAACGGCCAGAUUUCCAUUUGGAUUGCUCAAUUUGAAAAUUUCCAAUCCAUUUAAGAUAGCAUCAGCAUACAUAGCUCUUGUUUUCAUGUUAGGACGCAAUUCAAGCCACACAUUUUGCUUGCUUCGUCGGCCAUCUGGGUCUCUCACAUACACCACGUAGUCUCUGCAAAUCGGGACUCUCCACGCGCCACUCCAAGCAAUCACAUCACCUUGUUGCUCUGCCGUUUGGUUUCCAAUGAAUAUGUCAAAAACUCGUUGAUUAAUUUUCGUAACUUCCAGCUGAAUCUCACAAAAAUGGAGCCUGAAGAGAUAAUAGAACCCAGAAUCUAGAGGGAAUAUCCAAUCCAGGUUCCGGCUGUUAUUGGCGAUGGUCCUAGAGGUUGUGUAAACUAUGGUUGGUGCAGUAUAAGCCGGGGUUUCAGAAUUGUAAGUGAUGUCGACAUCUAAAUAAGAAGUUUGAUGGUCAUAUCCAACAACAAAUAUGUCGUCUCCAGCCCAUACACGAUACAUCCCCGUAUCCCUUGUGCUAGGAACCAAAUUGCCCCCCACGUUCAACCUGUACAGAGUUUCAAGAGCAGUGCUAUUAUUGAUAUAAUACAACUUAUUCUGCCCCACCAAUUUGAUGUCAUAACCGUCUCCACGGACAUAAAGAUUAGUGGGCAUGGAAAGUACCUCAAUUCCAUUAACAAAAGCAUGAGCGUUGGGUGAAGGAGAAAACGUUAUCUUGAGUAUCUGAGAUUCAUUAACAUUAAUGACAAAUUCUUUUCGAAGAACUUUACUAGUACUGGUACUUGCAGCGACAUCGAGGAAAGCGCUGAAGUUACUCAAGAGGGUAAAAUGAUUAGCUGUUACAGAGAAAAAUGAUUCGGAGUUGUUGAAGCCAAGGUAUGUGGUGGGGUAAAAAUAGAGACGGAGGAAUUUGGAGCCAGGGGAAACAGGGAAAGUGUAGGUGAAUUUUGAUUGGAAAAUACGCGCACUCAUAUAAGGGACUCUAGUGACUGAAGGGUCUUGUUCAGAAGUUCUGGAUAUGCUUGAAAAAUUCGAAGGCAUGAAUUUUGGAUAGUUGGUAUCGCUUUGCCAUUGACGGCCAUCAGAUUCAUCUGUGGUGUCUGAUGGUGCGCCACAACUGAGCAAGAUAGAGUCCGGGGCAUUGUAUUGUGGCAUGACAGCCAAGCUCACUGUCAUGACAUGUAAGAAGAGAAAGGAAAUCACAGCUAUGGUUUGCAUGGUGUGGUUGCGAAAAUUUCUGUACUAUUUGGCAUGCAGGUAUCAAUUUUUUGACAAUUGAAAAAUUAUACUGCAGAAUUGCCUAAAUAUUUUUCCUGAGCCAAUUUUGAGUUUGUCAAGUUGCAAUGAAGAAUAAUUCAAAUGGAAUAGGGUUCACAUUAGAUUAAUUAAAUUCACUAUGACGAAGCUUUGCUUUGUGAACUUACCUGUUCUUAAUUUUAAAACUAAUGAAUAAUGACUGAUGAGAAAUAACUUCGGCGCCUUGUAGUUUUUCAUUAAAAAAUCAGGAAGUCAAUCUAAUAAUCUGAAUUUGAAAGAGAAAGCUAACCCUAUGAAUUGAUCUGAAAUCUUAUUCAACUCCAAUGUUGUAAUCAAGAUAUAAAAAAUUAAACUCAAAAAAUCAACGGAAUUCAAUAAACUUAAGUGAAACUUCAUAUUUUUUUAUCCAAAUUAAAAAGUUCUUUUACAAAUUUGACCACCAAAAAAUGAUAUAAAGAAUAAUUCGAAAACAUAAAAAACAUUUAAUCAUUUUUAAAAACGUCACAAGAAUAGAAAAACCCAUGUGGCAUGAACAAUUUAGGAGUGCGCGCAACUAACUGAUAAUACAUGGAGUAAAAAUUAAGAACCUUUUAGGUAUAUCGCCGAAAAAAAAGAAGGAUAAAAGAGCCAAGCAUAUGUAAUUAUGUACAUUACAUUAAACUAGCUAGUAGAUAUAAUACUCAUUCAUCCAACAUGUUCAGGAUCUUAAUCAUGGAUGUACCCUAAGUUGAUCACCUAAAUCUAAAAACCUUAUAGAUGUAACUUUAUUGUACUGAUCAUAAAAAUUCACCGGCCUAAUGGAUUCAUGAUCUCAGAGAAAAUGGUGAUGUUCUUCAAUCUAGCACUCCUACUAGUUGAAAUGGAUAUAUCAUUGUCUGUCAACUUUCUUUCAACUUCAUUUAAACCUGGAAAAAUUUCUUCUUCAUUUGUUGCUAUAUUAACAUGACCAUUAGUAAUCAAAGGAGAAGAAGAGCCAGGGGGGUAUAUGUAUCCUUCCACCUCAUGACCUCUAUUAUCUGCAUCCUCUUGGAGUUGUAAUGCAAAUUCUAAAGUUUUAACAAUAUCACCCAUUGUUGGCCUUUGAAUCCCUUGAUCCCUCAAGCAAUGAUAUGCCAAUUCAACAUACUUGCUUAAACAUUCUGGGGAAAUUUGUCCCUCCAAAUUAGGAUCAAUGAUUCGUUCAAGAUUUCCUUUUGUACAACUCCUACAAGCCCACUCAGCCAAAUUCACUUGCUCACUUGACAAGUUUGGACUUAUCGCCGGUCUAGAGCAUAACACUUCAAACAUAAUCACCCCAAAGGAAUAAACAUCUGAUUUUUCUGUCAACUUUUGACGUUUGUAGUAUUCAGGAUCUACGUACCCAAAACUUCCUUUCACUGCAGUGCUAACAUGGGUAACAUCUAUCCCACCAAGUGAACCUACUUUGGACAAUCCAAAAUCUGACACCUUGGCAACCCAUUUAUCAUCCAAUAGGAUGUUAGUUGACUUGACAUCUCGGUGAAUGAUUGUGUAUUUGGUACCUAUAGCAACAAAAUCAACUCAUUUUAAGAAAUUCAUUCAAGUUUAAACAUAUUGGAUUGUAACUUGCCUAAUUGUUUGACCCAACAGAUGAAACCUAAAAUAACUAAUCAAGCUAUUGGAUCGAAACAGGUCAAAAUGCAAACUUUGGGAGGUUGAUUCAUGUUAUGCAACUUGACAUUGGUUGUUAUUUGACCUAUUUUGCUCCAAUACUGUUUUACCAAGCAAAUAUUGAGCAAGUUAGAUCAUGACAUUUUUAUUAAUAUAAUGAUAACUUACCUGAAUGAAGGUAAUAUAAUCCUUUAGCUGCACCAAUACAAAUGUCAAGGCGUUUCUUCCAAGGAAGAGGAGCAUUAUCAGUAUCAUACAACUGAUCUCGCAGGGUUCCAUUAGCCAUGUAAUCAUAAACCAAGAUCAUCUCAUUGUUAUCAUCACAAUAACCAAUUAAGGACACCAGAUGUCGAUGCCUUAGCUUUGAUGAUAACAUCUCAAUCUCUGUUUGGAACUCGCGAACCCCUUGCUUUGAUGAGGGAUUCGAUCUCUUGACUGCAACUGUGGUUGUACCAUUGUUGAGGUACCCUUUAUAAACAUUACCAAAACCUCCAUGUCCAAUCACGAAUUUUUCAUCAAAGUUGCCUGUUGCAUUUUUUAUCUCUUCUAUCAAAAAGUGUCGGCACAUAUCGGAUGGUAGUGAUGAUGAGCCUGUCUUUUUCGUACCAGAACCAGCUUUCCCCCCAUUUCGUCGCCAGGAAAUUAAAAAACCGAGAAUUGAGAAAACAGCAAUUCCGCUAAUCACACCUGUGAUGAUAACAACAAUGAUAUGCGAUGAUAUAUUUUUCUUCUUCUUUUUUUUCGGACGUUCGAAGAAAGACUCGGGAUAUGGAACGGCCAGAUUUCCAUUUGGAUCACUCAAUUUGAAAAUUUCCAAGCCAUUUAAGAUAGCAUUUUCAUACACAGCUUUUGUUUCCAUGUUAGGUCGCAAUUCAAGCGACACAUCUUUCUUGCCUCGUCGGCCAUCUGGAUCUCUCACAAACACCACGUGGUCUGUGUACAUCGGGACUCUCGAGCCGCCACUCCGUUGAAUCACAUCGACUAGUUGAUCUGCCGUUUUGUUUCCAAUGAGUAUAUCGAAAACCCGAUAGUUCUGUUCCUUAACUUCCAGCUGAAUCUCACAAAAAUGGAGCCUGAAAAGAUAGUAAAACCCAGAAUCUAGAGGGAAUAUCCAAUCCAGGCUCUGGCUGUAGUUGGCCAUGGUCCUAGAGGUUGUGUAAACUAUGUUUGGCGCUGUAUAAGCCGGAGUUUCAGAAGUGUAAGUGAUGUUGACAUCUAAAUGAAGAGUUUCAUAGCCAUAUCCAAAAACAAAGUCGUCAUCUGCAGCCCACACACGAUACAUGCCUGUAUCUUCUGUGCUAGGAACGAAAUUUCCUCCCACGUUCAGCCUGUACAAAUUUUUUAGAGCAGUACUGUUAUUGAUGUAAUAAAAACUAUUCUGUCGUCCCACCAUUUUAAUUUCAUGAUCGUCACCCUGGAUGUAAAGAUUGGCAGGCAUGGAGACAAUCUCAAUCCCAUUAACAAAAGCAUAAGAGUUGGGUGAAGGAGAGAACGUUAUCUUGAGUAUCUGAGUUUCAUUAACAUUAAUGACAAAUUCUUUUCGAAGCGCUUUACUAGAAUUGGUACUUGCUCCAGCGUCUGUAAAGAAAGCGCUGAAGUUACUCAAGAGGGCAAAAUGAUUAGCUGUGACAGAGAAAAAGGAUUCAGAUUCGUUGAUGUCAAGGUACGGAGCGGGGUAAAAAUAGAAACGAAGGAAUUUGGUGCCAGUAGAAACAGGGAGAGUAUAGGUGAAUUUAGAUUGGAAAAUACGGGCGCUCAUGUAAGGGACUCUAGUGACUGAAGUGUCUGAAGCUGUGGCUGUUGAUGAAAUGCUUGAAAAAUUCAAGGGCAAGAAAUUUGGGUAGUCGGUAUCAGUGUCCCAUCGACGGCCAUCGGACUCAUCUGUGGUGCCUGAUAGUGCGCCACAACUGAGCAACAAAGGGUCUGCCGUGAGAGCCAUAGUUACUGCCAUGAGAUGUAAUAGGAGAAAGGAAAUCAGAGAACUGGCUAACAUGUCUGUAUUAGGAAAAUUUCUGUAUAUUCAGAUUGCACAUAUCAAACUUUCAACAAUCUAACAAUUAUACUGCACAAAUUGUCAAAAGUUGAGUGUUGACUCUCACGUCAUUUCUUUUAUUUGUAAGUUUCUGUUUGGUUGAAAAUCAACGUGGUUGAGUGUCCCAGAUUGAACAGGAUGAGAGAUACCCCAGUUAAAUUUAUUAAACUUAUUAAAUUUAACUUGAUUGAGAGGGUCAUUUUCUUCAAACUUGAAUUUAUUAAAUUUCCAUGAUAAGGGAACCAUUUCUUCUGAUAUAACGAAGCCGCCUUCAAUUUUCGGUCUUUGUUAUAUUUCAAUAAUUUCUCCGGGGCCUUAGAGGCCAUAGACAUAUACUCUCCCAUUCAAAUUUACUUGUAAUAUUUUGAUUUGGUACAAGAAAACAAGAUGUUUAUAAUAGGUAUAAGAAAUUGAUUUGAAGAAUUAGUAAUUAAUAUUAGGGGUGAAAUAUAAAAAAAAAAUAUUUUUUGAUUUGUCAAAAUUGAUAUGUAAAAAAUAAAAAUCAAAUUAGGAAAAUAGUAAUAAAUAAAUACAAACUGCGGGAGUAAGCAUUUUGUGCUAUUUUAACUCCUAUUAAUGAAUCUCACCAAAUUAAACGGAAUGAUAACUAUUAGUAAGGAUACUUUGAACAUAGCACAUACAAAUUUUCAUUUACACGUCAGUUGUUUGAACAAUAAAUAAAUAAAGUAUAUUGAUUAUACUCAUUACAAUAAUUGGGGAAAACUUGAAAAGGAAUUCCAACAAGAAAGCCAAAAUCGAAGAGCUUGAGCUCGAUUUUCCCCGAUGGAAACCCCAUAGGAGCCCUAGCUUAAAUUUGGGGAAAACUUAGAGAAGAUAAUUCAAAAUUAACAGAAUCAAAUCAAAAUACAUUCAAGUCAUGAAUUUCUACAUAAAUUUAAAUUUCAUAAUUGGACGAAAUUUAGGUCAAAUAACGUGAGAUACUUAUGAAGAAAGAGAGAAUUUCUUUAUGCCUAAAGGAAAUUGUACUCGAGAAUAUGAAAGACGAAUUUAACAUUGUCAAAUAUUGAAAAGUGUAAUGAUUUGGAGCUAAUAUUUUAUUAUUAAUCAUGACAGUGAGUAAAAUUAAUAUAUUUUACUUAGUUAUUAUUGAAAUAACUAACGUGCAAAUAAAAAUUUGUAUGUGCUAUACUCAAAGUGCCUUAUUAAUAGUGGUCGUGCUGUUUAAUUUAAUGAGAUAUGUUAGUCAAAAAUUAAAAUAACAUACAUUAUUUAAUUGAAGGUUAAAAGUGAUUAAUCAAAUACCACAAGAACUGAAUUAAAAUAAUGUGAUAACUCAAAAAUUAAAAGCGUUUUCCCUAAUAAUAUAUAACUUUCAAAGGUUUUGAAAUAUUUUUUUUUGACCUAUAGGAUUCUACUUUGUUAUUUUCACCUGACUUUUCGACACUUCAGGGCCCAUUUGUACAUGAUUUUUUUUCUUUUCGAAAAGAAAUUUCAAAAGAAGCUUUUGGUUAUAUAUGAAACUGAUUUUCUAAGCAUGUGUUUGGUCAUGAAAUUUUUUUCAUUUUAUUUUUAAAAUUUAUUUACUUGUGAAAAAGGUGAAAAUAAUAUUGUUUGGUCACAAAAUUAUUUUAUUUUUGUGAAAAAUAUUUUUUGACUUUUUUCACUCAUAUUUCUUUUAUAAAAUUUCAAAAACAACUUCAAUUUAUAUUCAUGCCAAACAUAACACCAAAUAACUUUAACUCCAACUCCAACUUCAAAAAAUUAUUAUUUUCAUGGAGGGCCUAAAUUUCUUAUGAAUGAAUUUCAAGUUUGAAAAGGUGAUUUUACUCCGCUUUCAAGUGAGUUUUUGCACUAACCUUUGAUUACUAACAAAAAAUUUUAUUUUCAUGAAUGGCCUAAAUUUCUUAAGAAUGAACUCCAACUUCUUUUUCUACUUUUUGUCAAAUAUCUAUCUGCUAAACUGGGCCACGCUAAUCCUUAAGAAGCAAAGUUCAAUUUUUAUCUAGAUAAUUUCAUGAAAAAAGUUGGAGAUCUCUACAUGGCAGUUCAGUUUUUGUGUUCUUCCGAGUUUUCUAUCGUCUUAAAUACUCAGAAAUGAAUUCCCAUAACCACCUAACUUUACUAUCUCGACAUUAGUAGUUUAUGUUACAACUUACAAUGGAACUUGAUUAUAGCUAAGAAAAAACUUUACUGAAGACUUUAUUAUGUGGGUAUUAUGCAAUUAAGAGUAGACAGCAAGAAAACAUUCUGCACAUUGGUUUUGAGGAAUCUUAAUAACUCAGUUGGUUGACUACUAAACUCCUGAACUUAUAUUUCACCAAAAAAAAGAGAGGCAGGAAACAGCUAUAACAAUCUCAUCCACCCAACAAUUCAGGUUCUUAAUCAUGGAUGUAGCAUUACUUUUUGACAUGGAUAUCAUCGACCCAAUGGAUUCACAAUCUCAGAGAAAAUGGUGACGUUCUUCAAUUUGGCAUUCCUACUGAUCGACAUGGAUAUACCAUUACUUGUCAACUUUCUGUCAACUUCACUUAAAUCUGAGAAAAUCUCAGUCGCUGUAUUAGCAUGACCGUACAUAGUCAAGGGAAAAGAAGGGCCAACGGGUAAUAUGCAUCCUUUCACGUCAUGAUGACAUCUAUUAUCUGCACCCUCUUGGAGUUGUAAUGCAAAUUCUAAAGUUUUAACAAUAUCACCCAUUGAUGGCCUUUGCACCCCUUGCUCCCUCAAACAAUGAUAUGCCAAUUCUGCAAACUUGCUUAAACAUUCUGGGGCAAUGUGUCCUUUCAAGUUAGGAUCAAUGAUUUGUUCAACAUUUCUUUUUUUAUAACAUCUACAAGCCCACUCGGCCAAAUUCACUUGCUCACUUGGCAAGUUUGCAUUUAUUGCCGGCCUAGCGCAUAGCACUUCAAACAGAACCACCCCAAAGGAAUAAACAUCUGAUUUUUCUGUCAAUUGUUGACGUUUGUAGUAUUCAGGAUCCAUGUACCCAAAACUUCCUUUCACUGCAGUGCUAACAUGGGUAACAUCUAGCCCACCAAAUGAACCUACUUUGGAUAAUCCAAAAUCUGACACCUUGGCGAUCCACUUAUCGUCCAAUAGGAUGUUAGUUGACUUAACAUCUCGGUGAAUGAUCAUAUGUUUGGUACCUAUAGCAGCAAAAGCAACUCAUUUCAAGUAAUUUACUCAAGUUUAAACAUAUUGGAUUGUAACUUGUCCAUUUGUUUGACCAAACAGAUUAAAUCUGAAAUAACUAAUCAAGCUAUGGAUCAAAACGUACAUAUCAAAUAAUAUAACACAACAGGGCAAAAUGCAAAUUGAACAAACAAAACCCAACUUGACAUUGAUCGCUAUUUGACAUAUUCUGACCCAAUACUUUUUUACCAUACUAAAAUUGAGCGAGUUAUAUCAUGACAUUUUUAUUAAUGUAAUGAUUACUUACCUGAAUGAAGGUAAUAUAAUCCUUUAGCUGCACCAAUACAAAUGUCGAGGCGUUUCUUCCAUGGAAGAGGAGCAUUGUCAGUAUUGUACAAGUGAUCGCGGAGGGUUCCAUUAGCCAUGUAGUCAUAAACCAAGAUCAUCUCAUUCUUAUCAUCACAAUAACCAAUUAAGGACACCAGAUGUCGGUGUCUUAAUUUUGAUGAUAACAUCUCAAUCUCUGUUUGGAACUCGCGAACCCCUUGCUUUGAUGAAGGAUUCGAUCUCUUGACUGCAACUAUGGUUUUACCUUUGUCGACGUACCCUUUGUACACAUUACCAAAACCUCCACAGCCAAUCACAAAUUUCUCAUCAAAAUUGCCCGUUGCUGUUUUUAUCUCUUCAACUAAAAAGUGUCGACACAUAUCGGAUGAGCCUGAGCUGCCUGUAUUUUGCGUGGACUCUGAUGACUGGGGGGGACCAGAAUCAUUUCCCCUAUUUCGAUGCCGGGAAAUUAAGAAACUCAGAAUUGAAAAAACAGCAAUUCCACUGAUUACACCUGCAAUGCUAACAACAAUGACGUGCGAUGGUCUUUUCUUAUUGUUGUUUGGAGAAGUUGGUGAAAUGAUUGGAGCUUCUCUGGAAAAUUCAGGACUCAAGGUGGCCAGAUUUCCAUUUGCUUCUGAGGGAAAUUCAGGAUUUGGCAUGGACAGAUUUCCAUAUUGAUCGCUCAAUUUGAAAAUUUCUAAUCCAUUUAAGAUAACACUAGCAUAUACUGAUUUAUUUUCCAAGUUAGGACGCAAUUCAAGCGACACAUUUUGCUUGUUUCUUCCCACAGUUGGGUUAGUAGUAACAUUCACCACGUAGUCUCUGUAAACCGGGACUCUCCAGCCGCCACUCAAUUGAAUUACAUCAACUAGUCGCUUUGCCGUUUGGUUUCCAAUGGAUAUGUCAAAAACCCGAUAAUUUUGUUCCAUAACUUCCAGCUGAAUCUCACAAAAAUGGAGCCUGAAAAGAUAGUAAAACCCAGAAUCUAGAGGGAAUAUCCAAUCCAGGCUCUGGCUGUAGUUGGCCAUGGUCCUAGAGGUUGUGUAAACUAUGUUUGGCGCAGUAUAAGCCGGGGUUUUAUUAGUGUAAGUGAUGUUGACAUGUAAAUGUGGAGUUUGAUAGCCAUAUCCAACAACAAAGUCUUCAUCUGAAUCCCAUACCCGAUACAUGCCUGUAUCCCCUGUGCUCGAAACCAAAUUGCCUCCCACGUUCAGCCUGUACAGAGUCUCGAGAGCAGUAUUGUUAUCGAUAUCGUAAUUAAAAUUGUAAAUCUGCCCCGGCAAUUUGACGUCUCCGUGGAUGUAAAGAACAGUUGGCAUGGAAACUAUCUCAAUCCCAUUAACAAAAGCAUAAGAGAUGGGUGAUGAAGGAGAAAAAGUUAUUUUGAGAAGCUGAGUUUCAUCAACGUUAAUGACAAAUUCUUUUCGAAUCGCUUUACUUGCAGAGACUGUGAGGAAAGCACUGAAGUUACUCAAGAGGGUAAACUGAUUAGCUGUUACAGAGAAAAAAGAUUCAGAUUUGUUGAAGCCAGCGUAAUCGGCCGGGUAAAAAUAGAGACGGAGGAAUUUGGUGCCAGAGGAAACAGUGAAAGUGUAUGUGAAUUUCGAUUUGAAAAUACGAGCAUUCAUAUAAGGGACUCUAGAAACUGAAGAAUCUUGUUCAGAGGCUUUGGCUGGUGUGGAUAUGCUUGAACUGUUGGAGGUUAAGGAAUUCAGAUAGUGGAUAUCAGUAUCCCAUCGACGGCCAUCAGAUUCGUCCGUUGAGACUGAUGGUGCUCCACAGUUUAGCAAGAAAUGGACUGUUGCAUUGUACGGUGAUGGCGCGACAGAAAUAGUGGCCGUUAUGAGAUGCAAGAUGAGAAAGGAAAUUAUAGCACUAGUUAACAUGGUGUGGUGUUGUGCAAAAAUUCUGUAAUAUUUGGUAUGCAGACCAAACGAACAAUUAUACUGAACAAUUGCCAUGAAUUGAAGAAGGUUGACUCUCAAGUCAGUUGGUGUUAUAAUUUUUAAUUUGCUAUGGUUGAAAUUAAGUUUAUGUUUACAUUAGAGACACUCCACGAUUGUCAUUGAACAAUACUAUGACAAAUCCUCUUAAAGCUCUCCUUAUACUACCUAGUUUUUCAAUCGCCCAAAAUUCAUUCUGGAUUGCUCUAUCUGAACUCAACAGUAUUCCAGAACCAAUUAAAAAUGCAUCACACACACACAGAAAUCUGACUACAGUAUAGUCUCGAGAGAACCUUAUCUGUUGCAUACAAGAAAAUACGUUCAGAAGAAAACAAGAUGUACAUCUGUGCUGUCAUAAAAAGAAUUUUAUUGCGCUGUUAUUAUAAUUUGGAUGACCAUUUAAAUAAUUAACUCGAUUAUAUAUUAUUCAGAGAGAUUCAAUGGCUUCAGCGCAGAGUGAUGUAAAUUGCCAACUUUGUAGUAGCAAAUAAAGGGCACAAGUAAUUAAUCAUCAUGAAGGAGGAAAGUUACUGUGGCAACCAAUUCCUAGUUGUAGUACUAAUAUGCUAUUCAACUACAUCAAUUAAGUAAAUGGUUAACUGAUUGAAGGACUAAAAAUCAGUGACCCAAGAGUUGACCUCGUCAAAGAAUGCCAGAAAAAUUAAAGGUGCAAGGAUUAGGAAUAAUUGCACUAAAAAUGGUGCCAUAUACUCCAUAAGUUUCAUAUUACUUGAUCCUUAUUGACUCGGCACAUCCGUUGAGACAAUUUUAGUUAGGGAUGUAUUUUUACUAAUUUAAUCUUAUUAAUGAUGCUUUAAAAUUCUAAAUUUGAUUAUUAUUACUUUAUUGAGUUAUUAAUACUAAUAGAAAAAAAAUUAACAAAAUUCUCUUGAUUUCAUAAAUUGGAUAAAUAAAUUGAAACAUUUACUUUUAGCAUAGGGUAAGUAAAACGAAACGAAGCGAGUAUUUUCCUAGGAAAAUACAGAAGGAAAACAAAGAAAUAAAAAAGGCGAGGAAAACUUGCUAAUUGGCUAUUUUUUUCCUUGUAGGCCAUGCAAAUGAAUUAUCCUAAUAACGAUGUUGUCUUUCAUAUUUUCGUAAGUCUUUGUUAUUUUCUGCUAAAUAAUUCCAGUGGAUCAGUAGGUCAUAUAGAGUAAGACAUACAUGAAAUGACAGGUUUUGGAUUAUUUCUUUGGAAUUUGGAUGAUUCUUUGUUAAAUUUUGACCUGACAUUUCCACCUUAACAUGACAUGAGAUGGAAAAAAUAUCCAAUUUUGCAUGUUUAUACGGUCAUCAAAACUCCUAUUAUCCAAUGAUAUGAGAUGUAUUAAUUUUUCCUUUCGACUAUUCCGUGAAAAAAUUGCGGAUCCCUUCUUGUUCAUAUUUGUAUCGACACAUUAAAAAUCCUUAAUUUCAGGUAGAGAAAGAAAUAAGUGCUAAUUAAUGAUUCCAUCCCUUUAUCAAUCUAUCUUUGAUGUAUCAAGCCUAGUCUAAGUGACCCAUUGAAUUAGAUCCGCGUUAAACAAUCCAAAGGAGUACCGUCAACCCCUAAAAGUGUUUUCCCUUCUCGCCCGAAAGAAAAAGAUGUUUAUCAAGACUGCUUGACGCUAGCCAAGUCUCUGUGUUUUUGCACUGUUAAAACGCAAGUGAAAUAGGAAAGAAAAAUAAGCAACUCUGGGCCAUGAAAUAGUAACCUUUUUUUUGUCUCCAUUCUUUUCAUAAUUUCAUUUCUCUAUCUGCAACUCACUCUCAUUCAUUUCCAUGUUUGUUUCUUCUUCUUUAUCCGCUUGAAAAUCUUCUCAGUAGGGCGGGUAUGAAUGGAACUUUAUUAGUUUGCCUAAGAAAAAAUAGUGCGACUAUAUUGUUUGUAUAGCUUGUGAUGAUAGGCUAGUCCCUCCGUCCACUUUUGUAGUUUCUCAUAUCCACUUUUACUCGUUCAGCUUUAAAAAUCAAGAAAUAAUUUAUUAUUUAAUUUUAAUAUAAUUUUUAAAAUAUUAAAUUUAUUAUAUUUAAAUAAUAAAUAAUUAUUCUUUAAGGAUUGGAUAUGUCAAAUCGAUACCGUGCAACUAAAGAUGGACGAGGGAGUAUUCAUCUACCUCAAUUAAAUGGUUUACUGAUUGAAGUUGAUGUCACGAUCAGAGUCGAGGCCCUACCCGCGACGGGCAUCCCGAACCAUGAAGGUCCGAGAUACCCCUUAUCCCAACCUACUAGUGAUAUUGUUCCGAACCACGAAAGCCCGAGAUAUCCCUUGCCCCAACUCACUAGUGAUAUUGUCCGCUUUGGACCUAGGCCUUCACGACUUUAAAAUGCGUCACUAGGAAGUAAGACUUGCUUACUUAUAUACCCAGCACCCCUCUUGUAUUUUGUCGAUGUGGGACUCCUUAUACUAAGUUGGGUGUCACAUACACCACCUCUUAUGGACUCAGCGUCCUCGCUGAGGUUUACCCACCGAAUAAGAUUUGUCUAGACUCAAGACUGAGGUUUGUUCCGUCUUACCGGAAUUUGCCUACACUUUGUUUGAACUCUGGCCCACAUUGACAGGUCUGACACAGGAGAGACUCCGAUACCAUUCUGUCACGACCCAAGCCGAGGCCCUGGCCGCGACAGGCAUCCCGAACCAUCAAGGCCUAAGACACUCCUGUAACUCCCCAACCCACUAGUGAUAUUGUCCGCUUUGGACUCAGGCCCACACGACUUUAAAACGCGUCACUAAAAAAUAAGACUUACUUACUUAUAUACCAAGCAUCCCUCUUAUAUUUUAUUAACGUGAGAUUUUUUAUCUUAAGUUGGAGUGUUAUAUACGCCAUUCCUUAUGGAGUCAGCGUAAAGAUAAGGAAUUAUUGCACUAAAAAUGGGGACCAUAUAAAAGAAAUCAAUAGAAGUAAAAAAGAUGAGGGAAACUUCUUAAUGGGGGCGUCUUGUAUUUGUCUUGUAGGCCAUGAGCAAGACUUUUCUUAAUAUAAUACUCCAUUCGUUUAAAAAAGAACGAUGUAUUUUGACUUGAUAUAAAAUUUAAAAGAUUUUUAAAUUUUAUGAUUUUAAAUUAAAGUUGUGUUAAAUAUGUCAAAAUGUCCUUUAAUCUUUUGAUCAUAAACAUGUCAUGUAGAAAGUUAAAAUUAAAAUAUUGCCAAAAAAGAAAAGAGAUCAUUUUUUUUAAACGGAUUAAAAAGGAAAGUAAUUAUUUUUUUUAAAACGGAGGGAGUAAUAACUUGUUAAAAGUCUGUUAUGCUCAACUCAAUAAUUCCUCCGGCCAUAUAUUGUUAGUAUAGGCAUACGUGAAAUGAAAGGUUUUGAAUUAUUUUCUUUGGAAUUUGGUUGAUUUUUUGUUAAAUUUUGACCCGACUUUUCAACACUGAUAGAAAAUGAAGGAAAUAAAAAAGACGUACUACUAUGUUUAUAUUAACCAAUGAGAUGUACUCUCUUACGACAUUAUUUUAUUGUUUUGAUAAUUCUUUCAAAAGGAUGUGGAUCUACCCGUGUUCAUAUUAGUAUUAUACUCCCCUUCCACUUUUACUUGUCAAUCCAGUGGCGAUAGUUAAGAAUUUUUUAUGUGGGAUGGGUGGAUGGAGGUCGGGGUUUACCAAACGUUGGUGUAUAUUUCUAAAUUGUUUUUGACCCAUAUACACAAUAUUAUUUUUUGUAUGCACAAUAUAACUUUUGAAAGGACGUUGGAGUGACUAUUUUUGAGUCAAUGAAGCUAUAUAUGCCUCUGUUUGUCACAUUUCGCUGUUAAAUUGUAUGUACUUGGUGAGUAGUACUGUGAGAAUGACGACUGCACAUCAAGUGAGAGUUGUGAAUUUCAUAAGGUAAGCAAACAAAUAAUUACUUGUUGUAAAGUAAUUAAUAAUUCCGUCCUUCGGUUUGGUUUAUUUUAUUUAGUAAGGCUGCCAAUAAGUCUCGUCUUUUUUGUUUUUGCACUGUUUGGACGCAAGUGAACUGACGGGGACACGGGGUAGAUGCAAAACAAACAAAGAUGAAGAAAAGUAGCUACUCUAGUAGUCUUAUUUAUUAUAUAUACUGGGCCAUAUAAUAGCAACAUUUUCUUGUCCCAUUCCUUUCAUCUGCUAUACAUGACUCAUUCAUUUUGAUAUUGUUUCUUUUUCUUGAUUCAUUUUGAUGUUGUUUCUUUUUCUUGAUGUGAUUUGUUUUUGGUUUUCUGCUUAAAAAUCGACCGUAGGGCAGUAUGAAUGGAACUUAACUAGUCUGCCCAAGAAAAAAUAGUGAAACUAUCGUAUAGCUUAUACACUUCUGAAUAUUCGCUACAAUACAUCGAUAUUAAUAAGGAGACAAAUUCAAUAAAGGAAAAAGAAACAGAGAAAGAGCUAAUAUGCAACUUAUGUAUGUAACAAUCUCAUCGACCCGUUGGAUUCAAAAUCUCAGAGAAAAUGGUAUCACUCUUCAGCUUGUCAUCACUACUGGUCAUGGAUGUACCACUGCUGGUUGAUUUUCCUCCAACUUCAUAUGAACCUGAAAAGGCCUCGCCUUCAUCUGUAGAUAUAUUGGUAUGACCAUUCACAAUCAAGGGGAAAGACGGGCUAGCUGGGUAACUGUUCCCUUCCAUUUUGUGACCUCUAUUAUCUGCUGCAUCUUGAAGCUUUAAUACAAAUUCUAAAUUCCAGACAACAUCGCCCAUUGAUGGCCUUUGAACCCCCUGAUCCUUCAAGCAAUUAUAUGCUACUUCUGCAAACUUGUUUAAGCACUCCGGGGCAAUUUGUCCUUCCAAAGUCGGAUCAAUUAUCUGUUCAAGAUUUCCUUUUUUACAGCACCUACAAGCCCAAUCAGCCAAAUUCACUUGCCCUUUCGGCAUUCUAGGCAUUAAUGCUGGCCUAGCGCACAACACUUCGAAUAACACCACCCCAAAAGAAUACACAUCAGAUUUUUCUGUUAAUUGUUGUCGCUUAUAGUAUUCAGGAUCAACAUACCCAAAGCUUCCUUUCACAGCAGUGCUAACAUGGGUAUUUUCUGACCCACCAAGCGGACCAAUCUUGGAUAAUCCAAAAUCUGACACCUUAGCAACCCAUUUAUCAUCCAAUAAAAUGUUGGUCGACUUGACAUCUCGAUGAAUAAUGGUGUGCUUUGUACCUGUGAAAGUAAAUCUAACGAUCAUGAAUUUUAUCUACUAUAGAUGACAAUAGAUUCAAAAGUAUCAUUAAUCACGUCAAAACAUUCAAAUUUUAAUCUACUAGAAAAGCAAAUCAUUAUAUAUUAACAUUACCUACUAGUGACAAUCAAAACCUACCCAUCAAGGUGACUUUACUGUUUAAGUGCGCAAAGUUUAGUUACUUCAAUAUGAUUAAAUAAUAUACAAGUUUACUGUUAUACCGUAUAAAGUUCAGUGACUAUGAGUGAGAUUAAAUGUAUACCUGUAUGGAGAUAACACAAUCCUUUUGCUGCGCCAAUGCAAAUCUCAAGGCGUUUCCUCCAUGGAAGAGGAGCAUUAUCAGCUUUGUACAAGUGAUCACGGAGAGUUCCAUGAGCCAUGUAAUCAUAAACCAAAAUCAUCUCAUUGUUAUCAUCACAAUAACCAAUUAAGGAUACCAAAUGCAGAUGUCUUAGCUUUGAUAACAUGUGAAUCUCUGUCUCAAACUCGCGAACUCCUUGCUUUGAUGAAGGAUUCAAUCUCUUGAUUGCAACUGUGGUUGUGCCGUUGUCUAUGUACCCUUUGUACACAUUACCGAAACCUCCAUACCCAAUCACAAAAUUGUCAUCAAAAUUUCCUGUUGCAGCUUUUAUCUCCUCCAGUAAAAAGUGUCGGCACAGAUUGGAGGGUAAUGAUGAUGAGCCUGACCCGCUGGUCCUUUGGGUUGAGUUCGAUGUAAUUGAUAAAGGGAUCCACGAUGAUUUUGUAACGCUUGUAUGCAGAUCCUUUCCCUUUUUCCUCCGCUGGAAAAUCAAGAAACAUAGAAUUGACAACAGAGCAAUUCCACUAAUCACACCUGCUGUGAUAACAACAAAGACAUGCCAUUUCUUUUUCUUUUUUUCCUUUGGGGUUGAAUUCUCUGGAACUUCUAACCGCGAUUCAGGAUUUGGGACGGAAAAAUUUCCUUUUCGAUCGCUCAACUUGAAAAUUUCUAAGCCAUUUAAGAUAGCAUUUUCAUACACAGCUUUUGUUUCCAUGUUAGGUCGCAAUUCAAGCGACACAUCUUUCUUGCCUCGUCGGCCAUCUGGAUCUCUCACAAACACCACGUAGUCUGUGUACAUCGGGACUCUCCAGCCGCGACUCCGUUGAAUCACAUCGACUAGUUGAUCUGCCGUUUGGUUUCCAAUGAGUAUAUCGAAAACCCGAUAGUUCUGUUCCUUAACUUCCAGCUGAAUCUCACAAAAAUGGAGCCUGAAAAGAUAGUAGAACCCAGCGUCAAGAGGAAAAAUCCAAUCCAGGCUCUGGCUGUAAUUGGCGAUGGUCCUAGAGGUUGUGUAAACUAUGUUUGGCGCCGUAUAAGCCGGGGUUUCAGAAGUGUAAUUAAUGUUGACAUCUAUAUGAGGAGUUUGAUAGUCAUAUCCAACAACAAAGUCUUCAUCUGAAUCCCAUACCCGAUACAUGCCUGUAUCCCCUGUGCUCGAAACCAAAUUGCCUCCCACGUUCAGCCUGUACACAUUUUCAAGAGCAGUGCUGUUAUUGAUGUAAUAAAGAUUAUACUGCCCCACCAAUAUGAUGCCACCACUAUCUUCACGGAGAUAAAGAUCAGUUGGCAUGGAAACAAUCUCGAUCCCAUUAACAAAAGCGUAAGAGUUCGGCGAAGGAGAAAAGGUUAUAUUGAGUAUCUGAGUUUCAUCAACAUUGAUGACAUAUUCUUUUUGAAUUUUUAAACUAGAAUCGGUACUUGCAGCGACCGUGAGGAAAGCGCUGAAGUUACUCAAGAGGGUAAACUGAUUAGCUGUUACAGAGAAAAAGGAUUCGGAUUUGUUGAAGCCAAGGUAUGUGGUGGGGUAAAAAUAGAGACGGAGGAAACUAGUGCCAGGAGGAACACGGAAAGGGUAGGUGAAUUUAGAUUUGAAAAUACGAGCAUUCGUAUAAGGGACUCUAGAAACUGAAGAGUCUUGUUCAGAGGCUGUGGCUGGUGAUGAUAUGGUUGAUGAAUUGGAAGGUAACAAAUUGGGAUAGUGGGUAUCAGUAUCCCAUCGACGGCCAUCUUCAUCAGUGGCGACUGAUGGUGCGCCACAGUUGAGCAAGAAAUAUACUGUGGCAUUAUACGAUGAAGGCGUGACAGAAAUAGUGGCCGUUAUGAGUUGUAAGAGGAGAAAUGAAAUCAAAGCAAUGGCAACCAUGGUUGUGGUGGUUAUGAAAGUAAAAUACUACUAUGGAUUUGGUGUGUAGAUAGAUAUUAGUUAGAUGAAGUAAUAAUUAUACUCAACAAUAGCAAAGACUUGAGGGUUGACUCUCAAGUCAUUUUUGCUACUGUAAUUCUUAAUUUUGUAUGGCUGAAAGCCGACGUAGACCGAAAUAGUGUCCUUUGUCAUCAUUCGUUUAUUUUACUUUUUUGUUCAAGUAUUGUACAAAAUGAAAUAGCCUAGUAUUCAGUCUUCCGUACUUCUUGUGUUAUUAUAUAAUACUUAGUCUUUUUUUAAUUCAUUUAAAAAAGAAUGUUAAAUUUUUUUUUUUUUUUUUUGCUAACUAUUUAAAGAUAGAAUUUCAUGUUUACUCUUAUUGAUCCCACUUAUAAUGACCGACUUAAUUAAAAAUAGUAGUAGUAUAUUUUUUUAAUAAAAGAUAAUUUGAUAAAAAUUCAUCAAGUCUUUUCUUAUUUAUUAAACUCUAUAGUCUAUAUCCAGUCAAACUAUGACACAUAAAAUAAAACGCAGAAAGCAUUAUUUUCCUUUAUAAGUACUCACUGUAGCCCAACUUUCAUGACAUCGAUAAACUUUGACAAAGUAUUUAAGAAAUAAAGAAAUACGUUGAAAAUUUAUAGUCUAAAAUAAAUAUUUUAUUAUAAAAAUGGAAGUUUAAAGUUAAUUUAUUUUUGUUUAUAGAAAUAUGGCAUUUUUUGGGGAUAAAUUAAAACAAAAUGAGUCAUAGAAGUUGGAAUAACGAGAGUAAUUAAUUGACAAGAAAAGAUCAAUAUAUUUCAUUUAAGAAAUGAGUUAACUUUAAAUUUUUAGUUUUAAUAAGUAAUUUAUAGUCAGACAAGAAAGCAAAUCAUUAUAUAUUAACAUUACCUACUAGUGACAAUCAAAACCUACCCAUCAAGGUGACUUUACUGUUUAAGUGCGCAAAGUUUAGUUACUUCAAUAUGAUUAAAUAAUAUACAAGUUUACUGUUAUACCGUAUAAAGUUCAGUGACUAUGAGUGAGAUUAAAUGUAUACCUGUAUGGAGAUAACACAAUCCUUUUGCUGCGCCAAUGCAAAUCUCAAGGCGUUUCCUCCAUGGAAGAGGAGCAUUAUCAGCUUUGUACAAGUGAUCACGGAGAGUUCCAUGAGCCAUGUAAUCAUAAACCAAAAUCAUCUCAUUGUUAUCAUCACAAUAACCAAUUAAGGAUACCAAAUGCAGAUGUCUUAGCUUUGAUAACAUGUGAAUCUCUGUCUCAAACUCGCGAACUCCUUGCUUUGAUGAAGGAUUCAAUCUCUUGAUUGCAACUGUGGUUGUGCCGUUGUCUAUGUACCCUUUGUACACAUUACCGAAACCUCCAUACCCAAUCACAAAAUUGUCAUCAAAAUUUCCUGUUGCAGCUUUUAUCUCCUCCAGUAAAAAGUGUCGAGGGUAAUGAUGAUGAGCCUGACCCGCUGGUCCUUUGGGUUGAGUUCGAUGUAAUUGAUAAAGGGAUCCACGAUGAUUUUGUAACGCUUGUAUGCAGAUCCUUUCCCUUUUUCCUCCGCUGGAAAAUCAAGAAACAUAGAAUUGACAACAGAGCAAUUCCACUAAUCACACCUGCUGUGAUAACAACAAAGACAUGCCAUUUCUUUUUCUUUUUUUCCUUUGGGGUUGAAUUCUCUGGAACUUCUAACCGCGAUUCAGGAUUUGGGACGGAAAAAUUUCCUUUUCGAUCGCUCAACUUGAAAAUUUCUAAGCCAUUUAAGAUAGCAUUUUCAUACACAGCUUUUGUUUCCAUGUUAGGUCGCAAUUCAAGCGACACAUCUUUCUUGCCUCGUCGGCCAUCUGGAUCUCUCACAAACACCACGUAGUCUGUGUACAUCGGGACUCUCCAGCCGCGACUCCGUUGAAUCACAUCGACUAGUUGAUCUGCCGUUUGGUUUCCAAUGAGUAUAUCGAAAACCCGAUAGUUCUGUUCCUUAACUUCCAGCUGAAUCUCACAAAAAUGGAGCCUGAAAAGAUAGUAGAACCCAGCGUCAAGAGGAAAAAUCCAAUCCAGGCUCUGGCUGUAAUUGGCGAUGGUCCUAGAGGUUGUGUAAACUAUGUUUGGCGCCGUAUAAGCCGGGGUUUCAGAAGUGUAAUUAAUGUUGACAUCUAUAUGAGGAGUUUGAUAGUCAUAUCCAACAACAAAGUCUUCAUCUGAAUCCCAUACCCGAUACAUGCCUGUAUCCCCUGUGCUCGAAACCAAAUUGCCUCCCACGUUCAGCCUGUACACAUUUUCAAGAGCAGUGCUGUUAUUGAUGUAAUAAAGAUUAUACUGCCCCACCAAUAUGAUGCCACCACUAUCUUCACGGAGAUAAAGAUCAGUUGGCAUGGAAACAAUCUCGAUCCCAUUAACAAAAGCGUAAGAGUUCGGCGAAGGAGAAAAGGUUAUAUUGAGUAUCUGAGUUUCAUCAACAUUGAUGACAUAUUCUUUUUGAAUUUUUAAACUAGAAUCGGUACUUGCAGCGACCGUGAGGAAAGCGCUGAAGUUACUCAAGAGGGUAAACUGAUUAGCUGUUACAGAGAAAAAGGAUUCGGAUUUGUUGAAGCCAAGGUAUGUGGUGGGGUAAAAAUAGAGACGGAGGAAACUAGUGCCAGGAGGAACACGGAAAGGGUAGGUGAAUUUAGAUUUGAAAAUACGAGCAUUCGUAUAAGGGACUCUAGAAACUGAAGAGUCUUGUUCAGAGGCUGUGGCUGGUGAUGAUAUGGUUGAUGAAUUGGAAGGUAACAAAUUGGGAUAGUGGGUAUCAGUAUCCCAUCGACGGCCAUCUUCAUCAGUGGCGACUGAUGGUGCGCCACAGUUGAGCAAGAAAUAUACUGUGGCAUUAUACGAUGAAGGCGUGACAGAAAUAGUGGCCGUUAUGAGUUGUAAGAGGAGAAAUGAAAUCAAAGCAAUGGCAACCAUGGUUGUGGUGGUUAUGAAAGUAAAAUACUACUAUGGAUUUGGUGUGUAGAUAGAUAUUAGUUAGAUGAAGUAAUAAUUAUACUCAACAAUAGCAAAGACUUGAGGGUUGACUCUCAAGUCAUUUUUGCUACUGUAAUUCUUAAUUUUGUAUGGCUGAAAGCCGACGUAGACCGAAAUAGUGUCCUUUGUCAUCAUUCGUUUAUUUUACUUUUUUGUUCAAGUAUUGUACAAAAUGAAAUAGCCUAGUAUUCAGUCUUCCGUACUUCUUGUGUUAUUAUAUAAUACUUAGUCUUUUUUUAAUUCAUUUAAAAAAGAAUGUUAAAUUUUUUUUUUUUUUUUUUGCUAACUAUUUAAAGAUAGAAUUUCAUGUUUACUCUUAUUGAUCCCACUUAUAAUGACCGACUUAAUUAAAAAUAGUAGUAGUAUAUUUUUUUAAUAAAAGAUAAUUUGAUAAAAAUUCAUCAAGUCUUUUCUUAUUUAUUAAACUCUAUAGUCUAUAUCCAGUCAAACUAUGACACAUAAAAUAAAACGCAGAAAGCAUUAUUUUCCUUUAUAAGUACUCACUGUAGCCCAACUUUCAUGACAUCGAUAAACUUUGACAAAGUAUUUAAGAAAUAAAGAAAUACGUUGAAAAUUUAUAGUCUAAAAUAAAUAUUUUAUUAUAAAAAUGGAAGUUUAAAGUUAAUUUAUUUUUGUUUAUAGAAAUAUGGCAUUUUUUGGGGAUAAAUUAAAACAAAAUGAGUCAUAGAAGUUGGAAUAACGAGAGUAAUUAAUUGACAAGAAAAGAUCAAUAUAUUUCAUUUAAGAAAUGAGUUAACUUUAAAUUUUUAGUUUUAAUAAGUAAUUUAUAGUCAGACAAGUACUAUAAAUGAGUAAACAAGAAGACGAGAGCCUUGUUUAGGCUCUCUCUGUUUGCUUUCUUGAUUCGGAAAAAGGUCAUAUUUACUUUUCAACUAUUAAAAUUAAUACAUAAAUAUCCUUCAUUAUAUUUUUAGGCUAUUUAUAUCCUUAUCGUUAAUUUUGGAUAGAUAUAUAUCCCCAAAUUAUUAAAAAUGGUACGUAUAUACCCUUUAGUUAGACGACGAAUGUUGCGUGUCCUCAUCCGAAAAGAAUUUACCCAUUUUCCCCUUAGUAAUUUAACCUCUUGACCUGUCGGUAAAAUGUUCUACGGUUGAAGUUGGAAGGAGUUUCAUCCACGCCUAAAUCUUGGCGAACCAAAACCAAGCGGUCAUAGAAUAUUUCUUUAGGAUGAAGACAUGUAGGCAAAACUCGCUUCCAACUCGUGUCGUACAACAUUUUCGCGACAGUUCAUGAGAUAAAUUGCUAAGGAAAAAUGGGUUAAUUUCUUUCAAAUGAGGAUGCAUGGGGUAUGCCGUCUAGCUGAAUGGUAUAAAAAUACCAUUUUUAAUAGUUGGGAAAUAUAUAUAUGUACUAAAGUUAGACAACAAAAGUACAAAUAGCUCUAAAGUAUAAGCAAAGAUAUUUAGAUACCAUUUCAAUAGUUUGGGUCUUUGGGAAUAUAUGAAUAUAUAGGACCUUUCUCCGUUCUUUCUUUUGCUUUUUACCCUUCCAAGAAUCUUUUACUAUCAUUUUUGGCAAAACUAGAGAUUGAAGUAAAGUUUAGUCUCUAAUUUUAGAAAACUAUGAACUUCAAAAAAUCAAACUAAUUCAUGUGAGAUAUUUUCAAGUCCAUAAAAGUCAUUAUUAAUAAGUCACUCUCUUUCUAAUUAUCUUUUAUUGUAGUAGUGUUGCAUACAGUGUAUAGCUAAUCUCCCAUAUCUCAUUUUCUUUCUCUUCAUUUAAUCAUCAUGGAGGUCAAUUCGCACAACAUGACAACUCAAAUAUCUUGCGCAUCUAUUAUCUCUGGGACCAAAAAUUAAUUUGCCCUAUGCUCAAGUUGCCUUUUGGAUUAAUUGUAAUGGAUGUGCUCUAUAAUCUUGACUCUUCUUCCUCCUUUCUCUUUUUUUUUCUUCACUCCACGUUCGACUAAAUUCAGAUACGCGCAUUGCAAGAUUAAUUUUUUGUAGUCGGCGCUUCAAACUAGAUUUUUCCCAUGAAUUAAACCGAGACUUCUGAUUAAGGAGAAGGGAUCCCAACCAAUCCACCAAAACCAUAUUCUUCUUCCUCCUUUCAUUUUUAUUUUUUCAUUUUUUAAAUUUUAAGUAAUUUCUUAAGGUAACUUAUCCUUGUAUUAAUCUCGAUCAGACCUCCAUAUUUCUUUGAAACACACACCUUUUCCCAGGAUACCAGAGCAAUCUUCUUGUGCUCCACAGACCCCCCCAUAAGUAAUCUCGACAUUUCCUAUCAACCUCCUUUUCCACACUCUGAGGUAAUAUGAAAACAGACCCCCAAAAGUUAUAAAUAGAGAACAACACAGUUUUUUGGGUGAUGUUGCUAAGUGAUAAAAGCAAAUUUUCUUUGCCAUGAAUUUUAUUAGUUGUUUUAUGUUGUUGUUAGUUUAUUUGGUCAAUUGUUUAAAUAUUCAUUUGUUUCAACACAUGAUUGUUGAAAAUAAAAUUCUAAAACUUAAAUGGGACGGAUUGAAUCACGAUUCAUAUUUAAUUUAUCUUAGUAAUAAUAACUUUUUGAUGGGUCGUUAACUAGCUCAUUUAACACCCUUAUUAUCAUUGUCUCUUCACUAUUAUCUACUACCUAAUUCAAGAUCAAUCUGAGCAAGCAUGUUUCUGCAGUUUAUAGUUGUAUUAACUUUUUUGUCAAUACAUAUAUAGUCCAAGCUACUAUGUUUCAAGCUUCAUGCGAGUACGUUUUCUCUACAAAUACAUAACCAUUAUAAUGCUUGCUAACUCGUUUGGAACAUUUUUUACUAUUAGGAAAACAGACGUAUAUUGUUUUCAAAUAAUAUACAAGUAAAAGAAAAAAAAACUUUCAAAUAAAUCAUCUCUAGUGCAUACACAUAAAACAAACAUAUGAUUUGAAAUUUAUUAAUAGUAUACAUAAAUAUUAGUAGUUGAUCUUAAUAUAAAUUCACAUAACCCAAAUGAUUCAAGGCUAGAUCCACUCUGGUUACAUAUCACAAUUAGAAAAUAUUUUUAUUUAGCUAAGAAAUGAAUCUGAAUCAAAGUUUUUUAAAAAGAUAAUUGAGUGGUACAAAGUGAGACUCUUCAUCGAAUUCAUCCUUCCUUCUUUCAAGCCUCUCCUGUAGACUCUAUCCAAAAAUUGAGAUUUACUAAAAGGGAAAGGGAAAAGAACAAUUGUAUUAUAUUCAACCCAAAAAAAAUACUGCUAGUUAAUGAUAAUCAUACUGAUAAGCAUAAAUAAUUAGUACUUAUAUAAGAGAUACAAAAUACCACCGUAAUUAAACCACUACCUCACACAAGCAUAUACUAAUAAAGUAGUUGCUUCAAGAAAAGAGUUACAACAAGAAAUUACUACGUAGUAAUUAACAAACAACUCAUCAAAUUAACUUGAUUCUCUUGGAGACGUGACUGUAAGAACAUACAGACAGCAUCAUUUUUUCCUGGGGUCAUGUUUGCAACGAUUAAAUUCGUCGCAGAUUCGCUGUGCGACAUUUUUCUGUGCGCCGAUGCAACUAGAGUACUCCGUUGCAUCACAUAUCUUUGGUUUCUGAAGGGUGCGAUAGCUUAUCGUUGUUUUUGCAUUACCAGCUAGAAUCAUAGUGCUCAUUUCGGAUUCCAUGAGGUAUUCAUCGCCAUGAUCAGCAACGCAUUCGCCUAUGCUGGUCGUGCCAUUGCAUUCCAAUAGGCUAGCGCCCACGCCACAAGCAAUUUUUUCUAAGUUUAUCGUUAUCAACAACAACAAGAGGAGGAAUGUAGUGGACAACUUUUGCCCAGUGAUCAACGUCUUGUAUGUUUCACUUCUCAUCUCUCCCAGUCUAUAUUUAUUGCUUGAUUUUAUUUUUAUUUUUUUUAGCAAGAACUGAUGUGGAGUAACUAACUAAUUUGGUGUUUUAAAAUAGUCUCUGCGACAAUCAAUUCACACAGCUACUGACGCAGUUGGGAUAAGAAAUGAAUGGACACUCGGCCUCUCUUUCUAUCUUUAGUUGACUUGACGACGACUUUGUUAUUUCCUCCCUUCAUUUUUACUUAUCACAUUAAUAAUUUGCAUGACUAUUUUAUCACAUUAUUUCUAUUUAAAAAAUAAGUAAACUAAUGGUAAGAGUAAAACAAGAAAAAAUUAUUAUUUUUUCUUGAUAUAUUAAAAGUAAUAAGUAAAAUUGUAAAUCUGUUUCAUAAAUAGUGGAGAAGUAAAAAUGAACUGAGGAAGUAGCUUAGAAUGAAAAUUUUAUCCUCCUCCUAUUUCAUUUUACUUGAGAUCUUACUAAAACUAGUUAUUUCAAUUUAAUUGUUCAAUUUAUAGAAUCAAAAAAAAAAAAAAAUUAUCAUUUUCUUCCAAUAUUACUCCUAUGACUAUAUAAAGUAUUGGUAGAUAAAUUUAAAUUUUUAAAACAUAAUUAAAUAGGUUGAUUUAGUAAAAUAAAUUUCUAAUAAAUGUUCUUUUAGAAGAGUGACAAAUGAAAUGAAAGGGAGGGAGUUUUAGAAGAGUGACAAAUGAAAUGAAAGGGAGGGAGAAUUUGAUAGGCCGUGUACUUUUG